GAAGCAUUUGAUUAAAUUAAACUGUUUUCAAGCCUGAUUACCACAGAGGAGAUGGAAUGGACUGCAGAGAAAGGUCUGUCGUGGUGCUAGAUUACAGGUGAAUAAAGCAUUAUUGCAAUCAUUUUAUUUCAUUAAAUAGAAGAGCCUUACACUCUAAAAGAUCAAAUUAUGUGAGCAACAAAAAAUGUUUUGAUGUGGGUAUUAAAA